UGCUGUGGUGGAUUGCCAU
rnacentral:piRNA from 1 species